ensembl:lncRNA
CUUCAAUCUGGGCCCCUUGAAUCAAGGGACCCGUCCACAGACCGCUUAAACAGCUGCAAUACCAGGCUUGGCCGCUGAGCACUGGUGGAUUGCGGAAGUAUAUGUACUACUGACUGUUCCUGGGGGCUUGGGUUAGCCAGAUUGUAGCGCAUAUCUAAAUAGCGAGCUUAGUAAACUUAUAGCAUCUCGUUGCUUAAAUUAAAGAAAUCCACGGGAACCCUCCCUUGAGAUACCAGAAACAUGCCAACCAAGUGGUUCUGAUCUGCAGCGGUGAAGUUGUGCGGCGUUGAGGAGUUUUGCGGCGGUGAGGAGUUGUGUAUCAUGCAUCAGAGUAAAGGAGCUGUCAGGGUCCAGGAGGUGAUCGGUGCUCUGUGCAGGAUGCUGACAGCUACUGGCCUGGACUCCGUCCCCACACCAGAGGUCUUUAGAAGGGCUAAAUUCAACUGUGGACCUGAGGUGUGGCCUCUGACCACAGGAGGCUGGUGGCCGUCGGUCUGUGGCAGAGUGGCUACCAUGUCGACUGGAUCAGAUGUGUUGGAGAGCAGGGGGGGGAGUUUGUCCGCUGCAGUAGGGAGCUGCUCCUGGCCCUGGGCUGGCUGUUGGCGACAGGCGCCGUGGAGACCUUGCUGGCCCACAGAGCGAAGCAGCUUGACUCCACGCGGCGGGACCCUGCAGUGAUGACUCCUCCCACUGUGGGGGAGGCCCAGAUGGACCGCCCCUCUCUGAGGAAGCUUCAGUGGCUGUUUGGCUCUUUGAGGUCCCAGAGGCGGAGCCUUCUAUCAAUGCAGGAAGAGCAGAGCAAGCUCGUGACCAUGGCCCUGUCGGUCGGCCUUUCCUCUUCAUCCUCCUCAAUGUCAACCUUCGUCUCUGACACUAACUCUGCACUGCAGGAGGAGUGUGUCCGUAUGCAGGACCUGAGCCAACUCCUGAAGUCAUACACCGACUGGAAACACACAGAGAAGCUGUUCUGGGUGUGGAUGGACAGCGUGGUGGAGGGCCAUGCGACAGACCAGAGGGUGGCGUGUCCGCUGGAUUCAGACGCUAAUGCCUCGGCCAAUAGGAGCAGAGCUGUCUGUCCCCAUGGUGACUGGGGCCUUGAGUGCCUCAACGACAUGCUGUUGGGACUUCCGACAGUGCAGAGAAAGAGAGGACAGCGAGGAGAGGAGAAGGAGCCAGGAGGACGUCGUCGGGGACAGGAGAGCGAUGACAGACCACCAGCGGAGCGCGACGGCGGGACAGCCCCCCCCCUGCCCCCCUGCCUCUCUCCUUCAGCACAGGGGUACAGGCUCAGGCUCCAGGGGGAGGCUGGGGACCCUGGGGCCCUGAGGGCCUCUGAGAGACGCCGGCUGCUGAUGCUGACAGAGUCCUCCUUACUGGAGGGGAGGGAGAGAUGCCAACGGGCCAAUAGGAUGCAGUUCCAGGAGAUGAUUGGCAGGCUAGAGGAUAUGGUGUUGAUAGCACCUUAAGUGAUUUCAAGUCUACUGAAUAAAAAAAACAAUACUGUGUGUGUGUGUGUGUGUGUGUAUGACACUUAUUGGCUCUUAUAUUCAUACCAAUCAUCUUUUAAAUCCACUCAAAUCGAUUAUCAUUAAAUCAUUUUAAUAAUUGCUACAAAGGAACACCGUUAGGAUACAGCAAUACAAAAAAAAAUCUGAAAUGACAGUGAUUUCUAAAUGAAAAUAAAUAAAUUACAAUGUGCAGGUGUAGUUAAUAUAGAUUUGCCCUGAGUUGAAUUACAUUUUGUUGUGUGGUAAUUGUUGUGCCUUAAUGAGAUGUCUUUUAAGGGCCUGCAUCACAGGACAUGUGUCACCUGGUGCACUGUCAUGUAAAAUAUUGAUGCAAUGCCGGACCUUGAAUUUCCUCAUGAAAUUUAAAUUUUAACGUCUUCCUUUGUUCUAAAUGACAACAUUGUCAUUGAUUUGGUCCAGCUGGUUCCCUGACAACAUUGGGUAAAACCAGGGUCAAACCCGC